rnacentral:rRNA from 1 species
GAUGAACGCUGGCGGCGUGCCUAAUACAUGCAAGUCGAGCGAACAGACGAGGAGCUUGCUCCUCUGACGUUAGCGGCGGACGGGUGAGUAACACGUGGAUCACCUACCUAUAAGACUGGGAUAACUUCGGGAAACCGGAGCUAAUACCGGAUAAUAUAUUGAACCGCAUGGUUCAAUAGUGAAAGACGGUUUUGCUGUCACUUAUAGCUGGAUCCGCGCCGCAUUAGCUAGUUGGUAAGGUAACGGCUUACCAAGGCAACGAUGCGUAGCCGACCGGAGAGGGUGAUCGGCCACACUGGAACUGAGACACGGUCCAGACUACUACGGGAGGCAGCAGUAGGGAAUCUUCCGCAAUGGGCGAAAGCUUGACGGAGCAACGCCGCGUGAGUGAUGAAGGUCUUCGGAUCGUAAAACUCUGUUAUUAGGGAAGAACAAAUGUGGAAGUAACUAUGCACGUCUUGACGGUACCUAAUCAGAAAGCCACGGCUAACUACGUG